ACGCGUGGAACCUUACCAGGUCUUGACAUCCCUCUGACCGGUACAGAGAUGUACCUUUCCUUCGGGACAGAGGAGACAGGUGGUGCAUGGUUGUCGUCAGCUCGUGUCGUGAGAUGUUGGGUUAAGUCCCGCAACGAGCGCAACCCUUGUUCUUAGUUGCCAUCAUUUAGUUGGGCACUCUAAGGAGACUGCCGGUGACAAACCGGAGGAAGGUGGGGAUGACGUCAAAUCAUCAUGCCCCUUAUGACCUGGGCUACACACGUGCUACAAUGGACGGUACAAACGGUUGCCAACCCGCGAGGGGGAGCUAAUCCGAUAAAACCGUUCUCAGUUCGGAUUGUAGGCUGCAACUCGCCUACAUGAAGCCGGAAUCGCUAGUAAUCGCGGAUCAGCAUGCCGCGGUGAAUACGUUCCCGGGCCUUGCACUCACCGCCCGU
rnacentral:rRNA from 1 species